AAUGAACGCUGGCGGCAUGCCUAACACAUGCAAGUCGAACGAGACCUUCGGGUCUAGUGGCGCACGGGUGCGUAACGCGUGGGAAUCUGCCCUUGGGUUCGGGAAUAACAGUUAGAAAUGACUGCUAAUACCGAAUGAUGUCGUAAGACCAAAGAUUCAUCGCCCAGGGAUGAGCCCGCGUAGGAUUAGCUAGUUGGUGGGGUAACGGCCCACCAAGCCAACGAUCAGAACUGGUGUGAGAGCACGACCAGUCACACGGGCACUGAGACACGGGCCCGACUCCUACGGGAGGCAGCAGUAAGGAAUAUUGGUCAAUGGACGAAAGUCUGAACCAGCCAUGCCGCGUGAAGGAUGAAGGCCCUCU
rnacentral:rRNA from 1 species